GAUGCAACACUUUUUAAAAGAAAAUGUAAGUCUGAGGCUUGUUACAUGCAGUGUGUUCCGAGGUUUGAAAUUGGAUUGGUUAAUGCUUUAAGCACCAUAACAUCUGUUUGGCCUGAAGAGAAUUAAUAACAUCAAAUAUAGAAAAUAGUCCAGUUCAAAUUAUAAACAAGUUGUAGUGCCAUCUCAGUUGGCAGUGUAAGGGUACUUUUCUUCUAAAAAAAGAAUCAGCAGCAAUUUGUGGGUGGGUGGGUGGGUUUUUUUGUGUGGUGGUAGGCGUUUUUUUGUAUUUUUUCUGUGGGUUUGUUUUUUUUUUUUCCCAGCAGUUAGUGCUGUUUGUUGCAGUGACUGGGAUUUUCAAGUGAGUAUUGUUUAUGCUCCCUAUAGAUAUGUGUUUUUGAAAACCAAGGCGGUUUAUCUUGUUAAUUUAGGUUAAAAAAACCCUAAAAAGUUUAGGUUUCCACCUAAACUGUGGAAAGUGAUUAGAGGGAACCACAACGUGUGACUUGUUUUCAGUGUCUCUUUCUCAUUUUGUUUCUUCUGUAGGUUUAGCUGAAGUGUAGGAGUCUCCUCUGAGAGCUCAGCACAUACUAUUGGGAGACUCGCAGGAUGAGGGUUUGUGAUCUCUCCCCUCCUUCCACCAGCAUCAGGCAAAUUGAUGAGUUUCCCUCUGCGGGAGCUCUGCUGCACAACGGUUUGCUCUUAUCAACUGAGCCAUCAUCAGCCUGCUGUCUCUGUGUUAAUUUUUAAUGUGUUGGAAACUCUAAGCUGUCAGAAGGAGCACCUAUGUGUACAAACUAUAAACCAGGGCAAGAACUAGCGGAACAUCUAUCCUGGAGUCACGUUUUAUGCAGGUAAAAAAGAAACCGAGUGGAGAGCUGAAGAGCAGGACUGUUGACCGGUCUGCCUGGGCUCAGGAAGGAGGAGUGAGCACUGAGGCUGUGUGGCUGUAACACCAAGAGUAAGUCUCUUGUUUGGGGUUUACAGAGCACCUGUGUGUGGGCCACUCAGUUUAACCUUUGUCUUGAGGUCUGUUAGCAUUUGUCAAGGCUCACUAGUAAGGCAGGAAAAUCCUCUAGUGGUAGUGAGGUUGCCGUGGCAGUGGGUGGGAAGCCACAUAAAAUGCUCACAGGUAACGCAGCACCUUCACCUGGGCCUGCACAGCGGAGUGCCCCGAGCUGCAGCGCUUGGCGCAUAAAGGUGGGGGGAAGGUUCUGUAAGAUGCUCGCUCUUUCACACACCGGCCUGUCCUAAGCACUUCCCCGCAAAACAUGGAGUAGUUUGGGCCUGAGGGUGAGAAGACUGCAGGAAAUCAGCAAAGAGGGGGAACCUCCCCCCAAACCUAAGCAGCGAGAAUAGUACUUGUCAGUGUAGCAGGGCCAGAGAAGGGUAACUCACGGCGUAACCUACGGUGUGAAGGAGCUUGUCCUAGAGGCUGGGGGGAGCACGUCCAGCCUUACCGCUGGGAAUCGCCUUUAAAUCAAAGUGAGCAGGAGCAGGAUGGCACUUAGCAGGGCCUGCUGUUGUAAGCGCUGCGGGCGGAGGGGAACUCCAGGCCAGCCCGGCACAGCAGGAAUAGCUGCACGGAGCUUUCUGGAAAACAGGGCCAUGGGGUGUCCCUCUGCUCCGCUGCUGGUGGCCAAGGGCCCCGAAGGCUGGGGGAGCGGGCCCGCUGCACUGCUGUGCCCGUUCCAUGGGGUGCUCCAGCUUCUCCCUGUCACACGGGCGCUCCUGGGGCCACUUGCUGGUGGGGAACUGCUUGUUUAACACUGGGAAACGUGGUUCUUGACCUCAGGGCUAGAAGGUGUGCACCAAAGGACACUACGUAUGCUGCUGCAGUUACCAGGGCGUGGGGAAAUAAGACAACUGGCGCCUGUUCCCUGGCUGAGGAACGUAUUUUUGCAGAAAGUGUGGGGCAUGUUCCAGCCAAAGGCCGGACAGAGGGAGAUGGGUCUGAAAAACAGAAAUGAGAAGUGACUCCAGUUCUAAGAGAGACUGAUGUGCCUUGGCUGUUGUAAGUGUGCAGCUGGGGGAAAAAAAAAAAAAAAAAAGAAGCUAAGCAUAAAAA